rnacentral:rRNA from 1 species
AAUGAACGCUGGCGGCAGGCCUAACACAUGCAAGUCGAACGGAUCCUUCGGGAUUAGUGGCGGACGGGUGAGUAACGCGUAGGAACAUACCCUUUGGUACGGAAUAGCCUCGGGAAACUGGGAGUAAUACCGUAUGUGGUCGAGAGACGAAAGAUUUAUCGCCAAAGGAUUGGCCCGCGUUGGAUUAGGUAGUUGGUGGGGUAAUGGCCUACCAAGCCGACGAUCCAUAGCUGGUUUGAGAGGAUGAUCAGCCACACUGGGACUGAGACACGGCCCAGACUCCUACGGGAGGCAGCAGUGGGGAAUCUUAGACAAUGGGGGAAACCCUGAUCUAGCUAUGCCGCGUGAUCGAUGAAGGCCUUAGGGUUGUAAAGAUCUUUCAGGUGGGAAGAUAAUGACUGUACCACCAGAAGAAGCCCCGGCUAACUCCGUGCCAGCCGCCGCAGUAA